GCCGUGACCCAGACGCGGGGUUGGCUGGACUGUCAGCCAUGGCGUGGGUACCCGCGGAGUCUGCAGUGGAAGAGUUGAUGCCCCGGCUGUUGCCAGUGGAGCCCUGCGACUUGACAGAAGGUUUCGACCCCUCCAUCCCCCCGAGGACGCCUCAGGAAUACUUGAGGCGGGUCCAGAUCGAAGCCGCUCAGUGUCCAGACGUUGUGGUAGCUCAGAUUGACCCAAAGAAGUUGAAAAGGAAGCAAAGUGUGAAUGUUUCUCUUUCAGGAUGCCAACCAGCUCCUCAAGGCUAUUCCCCCACACUUCAGUGGCAACAGCAACAAGUGGCACAAUUUUCAACUAUUCGACAGAGUGUGAACAGACAUAGAAGUCACUGGAAAUCACAACAGUUGGAUAGUAAUGUGACCAUGCCAAAAUCUGAAGAUGAAGAAGGCUGGAAAAAAUUUUGUCUGGGUGAAAGGUUAUGUUCUGAAGGGGCUGUUGGACCAGCUAAAAAUGAAAGUCCUGGAAUAGAUUAUAUACAAAUUGGUUUUCCUCCCUUGCUUAGUAUUGUUAGCAGAAUGAAUCAGGCAACAGUAACCAGUGUCUUGGAAUAUCUGAGUAAUUGGUUUGGAGAAAGAGACUUUACUCCAGAAUUGGGAAGAUGGCUUUAUGCUUUAUUGGCUUGUCUUGAAAAACCUUUAUUACCCGAGGCUCAUUCACUGAUUCGGCAACUUGCAAGAAGAUGCUCUGAAGUGAGGCUCUUAGUGAACAGCAAAGAUGAUGAGAGAGUUCCUGCUUUGAAUUUAUUAAUCUGCUUGGUUAGCAGGUAUUUUGACCAACGUGACUUAGCUGAUGAGCCAUCUUGAUGUUGCUGAUCUCUCAGGGGUAGAAGAUACUUGUGAUGAAGGCAGACUGUCUGAGGAAAUACAAUGCCAAUGAAGUGAGAUUGCAUCACAUUUUCAACAGCAUGUAAAAGAAUGGGUAACAGCCUUAUGAGGACCUACUUCCUAAGGUUGUAAGGAUUCAAUGAGAUAACACACAUAAAGAAUUUGUGUAAGUGUUUGACUUAAAGUGCUCAAAUGAUUAUUAAGUUACUAAUCAUUAUUAAUAUGACAUCAAGAAAAAUUUUCUGGCCUUGGCCAGGUAGCUCAGUUGGUUAGAGUAUUGUCCCCAUAAGCCAAGGUUGCUGGUUUGAUCCCCUCAGGGCACAUAUAAGAAACGAAUGAAUGCAUAAAUAAGUGGAACAAAUAGAGUUUCUCUCUCUCUCUCUCUUUCCAUUCCUCUCUCUCUAAAUUCAAUUUUAAAAAGAAAGAAAAAAAUAUGUUCUGUUCAAGUCUUACCUUCUACUUUUAUAAAAUGGAAAAAAUGCCUACCUCAUAGAGUGGCUAUAAGGACUAAGUGAAAGAUUUAUUUUGCAUAGUGUUAAUAAAUGAGAUAGUUUUGCUACUGAGUGGCCCUAAUUCACAGAAAAGAUCAAUUUAAUAUACUAAGGUAUAAUUCAGAAUUGGUUAUCAAUAUAUUCCUAAAAAGCAACCAUAACAUAAAAGAGAUAGAGAAAAAAGAAAGUGUCAGCUCUGGCUGGCUGGCUGAGUUGGAGAACCCAUUUUUAUAAUGACUCAUUUUGGCAUAAGGAUUUUUUUUCAGGAAUGUAAGGACAAAAAAUAGAUAUUUUAAGGCAUUAAUCACAAUUAAAAGUAUCUUCCAAUUUUAAUGAAAAAUUGAAGAAAGUUCAUCCACUCUUAACAGAGGUAUAAAACCUUAAAUUUGUUGAGAAAUUAUACAUUUUAAAGGUAUAAUUUAGAAGUAGUUAUUUUGAAAAUAAUAGCUACCAAAUAGUAAUUUAAUUACCAUUUGGAGGUCUGUGGAACAAUGACAAAGUAAAUUAAAUUGCACCUGUAUUUUUUUAUUCACAUAAAAGAUAUAUAUAUAUUUUUUUUUGGUCAGGAGGAUAUUAUACACUUACUAAAUUUUGAUAAUACUUUUAUUAAAAUUUUAUUAAUUUUUAAGUAAAAUUAUUUCAUGUGUCUCUUAGAAUAAACCAAUUAGAAGCUGACUUAUAAUAAAAUUGAUUAACGUUAUUUAAUCUACUCUCUGGGACAGAAAGAAAAAUGUUUUAUAGACCCUAGCCAGGUAGCUCAGUUGGUUAGACGUCAUCCCAGUAUGCCAAGGUGUAGGUUCGAUUUCUGGUAGAGGCACAUACAAGAAUCAACCA